UAACCAUAAUGCACUUCAGUGUCACUUACCUGGAGACAAGACCGUACCCAUUAAAGCUGCUGCUAUUUUCUUUCAUCUUCUCACUCCCCUGCUUUUUUUCAAGAUAUUUCACUGAGUGGAGAAAUUCUUAAAAUUAGCUCAAAAGGGUUUGAUUAGAAUCAAGUAUUCAGAAAGAUGGUUCACGAAUUAAGAAGUGGUUUCAAGUUUAGAGCUCCUCCAGUUAGAGAUUUAGUCGAACGUAGCAGCAGCAUAAACAAAUAUAAGAAUCCAGAUAAGAAGCUGAAAAUGUCAUUUGAGGCCAUGGAAGUAAAAGCAGAACAAAACCCUUGCUCAGAUUCUCUU